CUACGGGUGGCACCAGUGAGGAAUAUUGCACAAUGGGGGGAACCCUGAUGCAGCAACGCCGCGUGGAGGAUAACGCAUUUCGGUGUGUAAACUCCUUUUAUAUGUCAAGAAAAUGACGGUAGCAUAUGAAUAAGCACCGGCUGACUCCGUGCCAGCAGCCGCGGUAAUACGGAGGGUGCAAGCGUUACUCGGAAUCACUGGGCGUAAAGGACGCGUAGGCGGGUUGGAAAGUCAGGUGUGAAAUCCUACAGCUUAACUGUAGAACUGCACUUGAAACUUCUAAUCUAGAGUAUGGGAGGGGGAGAUGGAAUUAGUGGUGUAGGGGUAAAAUCCGUAGAUAUCACUAGGAAUACCUAAAGCGAAGGCGAUCUCCUGGAACAUUACUGACGCUAAGGCGUGAAAGCGUGGGGAGCAAACAGGAUUAGAUACCCGAGUAGUC
rnacentral:rRNA from 1 species